GAUGAACGCUGGCGGUGUACCUAAUACAUGCAAGUCGAGCGAACAGACGAGGAGCUUACUCCUCUGACGUUAGCGGCGGACGGGUGAGUAACACGUGGAUAACCUACCUAUAAGACUGGGAUAACUUCGGGAAACCGGAGCUAAUACCGGAUAACAUGUUGAACCGCAUGGUUCAACAGUGAAAGACGGUCUUGCUGUCACUUAUAGAUGGAUCCGCGUCGCAUUAGCUAGUUGGUAAGGUAACGGCUUACCAAGGCAACGAUGCGUAGCCGACCUGAGAGGGUGAUCGGCCACACUGGAACUGAGGCACGGUCCAGACUCCUACGGGAGGCAGCAGUAGGGAAUCUUCCGCAAUGGGCGAAAGCCUGACGGAGCAACGCCGCGUGAGUGAAGAAGGUCUUCGGAUCGUAAAACUCUGUUAUUAGGGAAGAACAAAUGUGUAAGUAACUAUGCACGUCUUGACGGUACCUAAUCAGAAAGCCACGGCUAACUACGUG
rnacentral:rRNA from 1 species